UAUUAAUAUUGUUUUCCUCCCAAAAAAACUGGCUACUAUACUAUAGAGUAUAGGCUAGUGUUUAUAGCGCCGUGUGAACCAGUCCUCAAAAACUUUCGUUGUAAUCGUGGCAGCUUUGAAAAUGGUUCGCGUCACACAAAAUGAAACAAUUAAGAAAAAUAAAACAAUCCACAUGAACUUGAAAAAUAUGCCCGGCCACGGUGGGAUUCGAACCUACGACCUUUGGAACCACCGUGGCCGGCCAUAUUUUUCAAGCUCUCCCGGUGUGGAUAUGCACUCAGAGUAACAUCGCAAACAUAUUAUUCACCUGAGUACACAACACCAACACAGAAAAAUUCAUAAUCCACAUGAACUCAAAACCAAUUAACAUUAAAUAUAAUAAUUUUGACCUACUGUAAACUUCAGUUAUGCGUGCAGCUUUAUGUAAUAUUGUAAAUGCCUGUAAAUGCCUGUAAUUAAAUCCAUUGUAUGUUUCAUCUAAAGAUGGAUACGAAUAAUUAAUACUGUAAUGUGAGUACUAGUGCACUUUUUCCGGCCUUUAUUCAUCCUUCAAUAAUUAUUGAGUAUUAUUGAUCAAUGUUAUUCCAUUUAUUUUUGAAUAACACUAACUAAAAUAGCCACCGUCACUGCUGGCGUUUGACUUGUAUAUUCCAGGAAAAGCUUAAUUAUCAUUUCUUGAAUAAUUGUAUACACGCAUGUAAUAUGAUCGUCUUCAUUGACACAUUUACUCUAAAGAACAAUUAUUACAUGUAGAUGAAGCCUUGGUUAGUGUAAAUUGUCGGGCAGGAUAAUUUACACUAUCCAUAAACGAGUAUUAAGGAAGGGCAAGCUAUUGGUAGCAUGUUACCACUGAAUUACCUAAAUACAAAU